AAUGGGCGCAAGCCUGAUCCAGCAAUACCGCGUGAGUGAUGAAGGUCUUCGGAUUGUAAAGCUCUUUUAGUGGGGAAGAUAAUGACGGUACCCACAGAAAAAGCACCGGCAAACUUCGUGCCAGCAGCCGCGGUAAUACGAAGGGUGCUAGCGUUGUUCGGAAUCACUGGGCGUAAAGCGUACGUAGGUGGUUGAGUAAGUCAGCUGUGAAAUCCCCAAGCUCAACUUGGGAAUUGCAUCUGAAACUGCUCAGCUAGAGUAUGGUCGGGGAUAGUGGAAUUUCUAGUGUAGGGGUGAAAUCCGUAGAUAUUAGAAGGAAUACCGGUGGCGAAAGCGACUGUCUAGGCCAUUACUGACACUGAGGUACGAAAGCGUGGGGAGCAAA
rnacentral:rRNA from 1 species